GAUGAACGCUAGCGGGAGGCUUAACACAUGCAAGUCGAGGGGCAUCACGGGGUAGCAAUACUCUGGUGGCGACCGGCGCACGGGUGAGUAACGCGUAUGUAACCUGCCCUUUACUGGAGGAUAACCCGGAGAAAUUCGGACUAAUACUCCAUAAAGAUAUAAUGAGGCAUCUUAAGAUAUUUAAAGCUUCGGUGGUAUAGGAUGGGCAUGCGUAACAUUAGCUAGUUGGGAGGGUAACGGCCUACCAAGGCAAUGAUGUUUAGGGGACCUGAGAGGGUGACCCCCCACACUGGUACUGAGACACGGACCAGACUCCUACGGGUGGCAG
rnacentral:rRNA from 1 species